UACGUAGGGUGCAAGCGUUAUCCCGGAAUUAUUGGGCGUAAAGAGCUCGUAGGCGGUUUGUCGCGUCUGCUGUGAAAACUUGGAGGCUCAACCUCCAGCCUGCAGUGGGUACGGGCAGAUCUAGAGUGCGGUAGGGGAGAUUGGAAUUACCUAGGUGUAGCGGUGAAAUGCGCAGAUAUCAGGAGGAACACCGGUGGCGAAGGCGGGUCUCUGGGCCGUAACCUGGACGCUGAGGAGCGAAAGCGUGGGGAGCGAACAGG
rnacentral:rRNA from 1 species